UACGUAGGGGGCAAGCGUUGUCCGGAUUUAUUGGGCGUAAAGCGCUCGCAGGUGGUUCGAUGCGUCGUGCGUGAAAGCCCCCGGCUCAACUGGGGAGGGUCACGCGAUACUGAUCGACUGGAAGGCAGGAGGGGGUAGUGGAAUUCCCGGUGUAGUGGUGAAAUGCGUAGAUAUCGGGAGGAACACCAGUGGCGAAGGCGACUACCUGGCCUGUUCUUGACGCUGAGGCGCGAAAGCUAGGGUAGCAAACGGG
rnacentral:rRNA from 1 species